UCAACCUCAACUCCCACUUGCUUCACCUCUUAUUCCUCAGCAACAGUCUCAGGAGUUUUUUGAGUAUCCACUACAACAUCACUCUGUGAAUUUUUCUGCAACUCAACCUCAACUCCCAUUUGCUUCACCUGUAGUGUUUCAGAAA